GAACCAGUACCGUGAGGGAAAGGCGAAAAGAACCCCGGCGAGGGGAGUGAAAAAGAACCUGAAACCGUGUACGUACAAGCAGUGGGAGCACCUUCGGGUGUGACUGCGUACCUUUUGUAUAAUGGGUCAGCGACUUAUAUUCUGUAGCAAGGUUAACCGUAUAGGGGAGCCGCAGGGAAACCGAGUCUUAACUGGGCGUUAAGUUGCAGGGUAUAGACCCGAAACCCGGUGAUCUAGCCAUGGGCAGGUUGAAGGUUGGGUAACACUAACUGGAGGACCGAACCGACUAAUGUUGAAAAAUUAGCGGAUGACUUGUGGCUGGGGGUGAAAGGCCAAUCAAACCGGGAGAUAGCUGGUUCUCCCCGAAAGCUAUUUAGGUAGCGCCUCGUGAACUCAUCUUCGGGGGUAGAGCACUGUUUCGGCUAGGGGGUCAUCCCGACUUACCAACCCGAUGCAAACUACGAAUACCGAAGAAUGUUAUCACGGGAGACACACGGCGGGUGCUAACGUCCGUCGUGAAGAGGGAAACAACCCAGACCGCCAGCUAAGGUCCCAAAGUCAUGGUUAAGUGGGAAACGAUGUGGGAAGGCACAGACAGCCAGGAUGUUGGCUUAGAAGCAGCCAUCAUUUAAAGAAAGCGUAAUAGCUCACUGGUCGAGUCGGCCUGCGCGGAAGAUGUAACGGGGCUAAACCAUGCACCGAAGCUGCGGCAGCGACACUAUGUGUUGUUGGGUAGGGGAGCG
rnacentral:rRNA from 1 species